rnacentral:misc_RNA from 1 species
AUUAGAGAAGAAAUGUACUUUUUCUUCUGAUAGAAGAGAAAAUUACGCGAAAUUCAAUUGCUAUUCCAAUAGACAUGUAACAAGACAUUGUAAUAAUAAUGAUGUUAUUUUUCAUUCCAUGGAAACAAUAUUGGAUACAAGAAGGAUAUAUUAAUUGUCGUAGAAUUUCCACCAAAAUGUGUAUUUACAUUCCGGAAGUGGAUAAAUCAUUGGGCAUAGGUAUACAUACCAACAAACAAUGAUGUAAAUGAAAGAAAAGUGGAGGGAGUGAAAGGAUAGAACAUACAUAGAAAUAGAAUAAAAAGAAUAAUGGAAGCAGCAAAACAUUUAUAGCAGUUUCGGUACCUUUUAUUUAGAUACGUGAAUUAAUUCGUCAAAAAAGAUUUAUACUUCGAAAAAUAUAGGAAGGUAGAAAAAUGUUGCAGAGUUAUGUCCGGAGAUUUGGUGAUAAUAAUAUAGUGUAAGAGAAAAAGGUACAAAAACGUGUAUGUAUGUAUGUAGGAAGAACGCCGUCAUGAUUUGGAUCGUAAACGAUCGGUAGCCAAUUUUUGAGAAAAAUUAAAGUACGCGUACACGAUCGAUAUAGAUCAGUAAGCGGAAUAAAAGCGUCGUUUUACUUUUAAAUACUUGAAUAUUUUUAAAGAAAGUGUAAAGGGUUAAAUAAAAGUUGAUAGUGUCAGAAAGAAUGAUUCGAGAGGAUUUCAAUCUCGCGAAAAUACAAAUUCAAUGAUUAUCUGAUUAAUAAAUUGGAUGAAUCUAUCGGAAUCUUGACAAGAAUUUAUGAGAAGAGAAUAUAAGAAUGCAUCAAAACAGAAGAAAGAAAAAGAGAGUGAAUUAUGGUGUAAGGACAGUGGAGGUAUUACGAGGAACGAAAGGAUUUGGUUUCACGAUUUCGGGGCAGCAACCUUGUAUACUGAGUUGCAUUGUUCCUGGAAGUCCAGCAGAAAUUGCUGGAUUACGAGCUGGUGAUUAUUUAGUGUCGGUGAAUGGCCAUAAUGUCAGUAAACUGCCCCAUGACGAUGUUGUACAAUUAAUUGGGCGUUCUAAAGGUAUUUUAAGAUUACAAAUAGCAGAAAACUAUUAUUCUGAUUCUUCGGAUGAAGAAGGAGUAACAACAGUACGUUGCAAACCUAAAUACAUUCAUAAACCACGUGCAAGUAAUAUGGGAGCAUUGCAAUUACAAUGUAGAGUCGCUAAAGUUGUAAGAGAUUUACAAAGUGGUGCCAUGUUUGAUGCGACAGGAAAAACAUUAUCAGAAUUACAAAAUCAAGAAACGUAUCAUGAUCUACAUUAUCAUUGGGAUAUGUCUAAUCCUCUUCCACCACCUCCACCACCAGCUUCCCACAAAAGGGAUUCGGAGAAAAUAGUGCACAGAACAGUUGUUGGAUAUCUUGGAACUAUUGACAUUCCAAAUCAAUUGCAUCCAUCCAGUAUGAUGCAGGUUUUGAGGAAAUGCAUCAAACGACUAAAGGCAGAAAAAAGAAAUCCAACUACGGUGCUUUUAACUAUACAUGUGGCAAACAUAAAGCUCACUAAUUCAGAGAAUCGUGUUAUAGCAGAAUAUCCAUCAUACAGGAUAAUAUUUUGCAAUUCAUUUUCUGAACAAGACAAACAAUAUUUUGGUAUAUUGACUAAGUCUGUUAGGGAUAAAGAAAACAUUGUUUCAAAUUCCUGCCAUGUUUUUACAAUUUACUAUAAGUUGAUAGAUCAUACAGUACAUUCUAGCGCUUGUAAUAUAUUCGGAUUUACGUGCACUAAAACUUCGGAAUUAAACGUAUGUCAAGAAUUUCCGGAUAGUUGUAACGGUCUGAUUGGUGCCAUCCAGACUUUGUACAUAUCAGAUUCAACAGCCACCGAUACAAAUUCGUAUAAUGAAACGAGAAGACAUCAAGAAACUGCUUCUCCACAGCCAAGUAAUAUAAGCACCUCCACGGCCCAUUCGAGUAACAGUGAUUCUGGAAUCGGCUAUAAAGACGAUUGUGCAAGCCGUUCGGAUAGAAAUAUCGUACAAAACGUAUCUCAAAGAAGAUGCUGCCUUAAUUCAGAAUACAGAGAUGCACACGAAUAUUCGUCGAGAAGGUACGGUAACGAAAUUACCGAUUUAAAAUUGACGGUUCGAGCUAUAUCGAAACAAGUAAAUCGGAUAAACGCAUGUUGGAAUGAAACAAAUAAGCUGGAUACAUGUAGAAGUAACACAGAAUUAUCUCGUGAGAGCGUUGUCUUUAAUGAUUUUUGCAAUGGAACGAGUGCAUGUACAGAAAUGAUGGAGGAUCACGAGAUGAAUUCCGGUAUACAAAAAGGAACGAAGAGGGGGGAUUUGCCCACCUGUCCAUUGCCAUCUGCUGCUACGGUUAAGCAGGGGUUGGUUAGUUCGUCCGUUGGUUCUCUCGCGUCCGUUUGCACUACCGCGAUGCUGCACGGUAUAGAAGACUCAGUUGAAACAUCGGACGAUUCUAUCGUCAGACCUAAACGAUCGUUAGAUUCAGUGGGAGUAACGGAAUCUGCAGAAAUCGAUACUCGAGACAAGUUUAGUCCAAAAGUUUUUUCGGGCAUUUCCAAAUCUUUAGUGCAUAGUUUCGAAGAUCUUAACACGAAUAUGGAUUACGCUCGACCACUUUGUCAAACGUACUCAGACAAAUCGGAUAAUUCUCGUCCUUGGGGAAGCUUACAGGAAAUCCGGAACAUUGGAACUUACGUGCAAGACACCUGUUUGCACGGUAGUACGGAAUUGUGCGAUAAAAACACCGAUUGCAAAACUAUACAUGCAUGGGCCAAUGGGUUUGAAAAAUUAUUGGAAGAUCCAAAGGGAUUACAAACAUUUGCGGAGUUCUUAAAGAAAGAGUUCAGCCAUGAAAACAUUUAUUUUUGGGCCGCUUGCGAGAGAUAUAAAGACACGAAAGACAUCGUCACUCGACGUAAGUUGGCUAAUCAAAUUUACCAACGUCACUUGUCCAGCACAGCGGCUGAACCCGUAAACGUUGAUAGCCACGCCACUGGCCAAAUAACUCAGGAUCUUCUUUGUGAAGCACCGUCGGAUCUUUUUCUACAGGCACAGAAGCAGGUCUUCAAUUUGAUGAAAUUCGAUAGCUAUCCAAGAUUUUUAAGAUCGGAUUUGUACCGUCGUUGCGUAGAAACAGGAAGUUCCGUGAUAGGAACGGACGAUUGUGAUUUAAAUCUUACCAGUUCCCCUAGUGUAAAAUUAAAGAAGAGUCAUUCGGAUGCAGAAGAUCGAUGUAGAAAAUCUAUUCUCCCUUGGAAUAGGAAAAACAGGUCCAAGUCAAAAGACCGUGGAGAAACCGAAUACAAUAAAACUCCGAGCAGAAACGAAACCAUAUACAAGAGUUUCACUACGAUGAAAAGAGAAGCAGAAGGUAAUAACAAUGACGACAGUAUUUCUAUAUCUAGUAGCAGAUCUUCAUUGGCCUCAUGGGAUUUGGCGUUGAGACAAUCGUUUCACAAACACUCUUUAUCGUCCUAUGAAGGACAGUCGAACGAAACUAGAGAAGUUCGCGCCAAAUGUACCGGGUUGUGUCGGGUAAUAUUGCCCGAUGGAUCGACUACGGUUGUGCCAACUAGCCAAACGGAGAGUAUUAAAGAUGUGGUUACACGACUUCUAGAUAAAAGAGCUCUCCGAUACUCUAACUAUGACGUUCUAAUCCUAGCCACGGACGAGACGAUAGAGACGAAAUAUCCAUCGUCGGUAUUGGCUGGCCAGGAAGUGGAAGUUGUUCCCACGAAAGUAUUAAAAGUAGAGUUACCUUCACGGCGAGUGAUAACCGUGGUCGCGCACAAAGGCAGAACUCUGAAGGAAGUACUGAGACCUCUUUUGAACAAGUAUGGUUUCAAUUUAGAUACGAUCACGGUGUGGAGCGACAAUCGUUCCGUUUGUCCGGAUAUACUAGCCGUCGAUGCUCCGGCUAGGCUAAUUUUGACCAACACAAAAGACGAAGAUCCUCGGAAAGAGCCACGUACCGUCCGUUCAACGAACGAUACGCCGUACACUCAACCUACCUUGGAUGAAAUUACCAACAAGGUAUUCGAAGAGUUGUUAGUGGGCAAAGGUUCUGGCAAACAUCGGUACAAUGAAGGCUCGUCGUGCAAGUUGUUCAUGUUCUUUUCCCGCAGUCCGACGAUCAACGUUCCGAAGGUUCAUCCAUUUUACCUAGCAAAUUCUUUCUACGAGAUUCUACGAUGCAUGGAAAGAAGAAGGGAAAGUCCAAAUGUAACAACACCAGCGAGAAGGGCAGUACGAGCGACUACAUUUCCGAAGAAACUAGCAAGCCUCAUCCACCUUUGAUAGCAAAGUGGCGGAACGGGGUGAAGUUACAGUUACCCGGAAAAUUUGAUGGCGAAGAUCUGUACGAAGGUUUGAAACGAGCACAAAGGUCUCGAUUGGAAGACCAGAGAGGAACGGAGAUCAAUUUUGAGCUGCCAGACUUUUUA